UACGGGGGGAGCAAGCGUUGUUCGGAUUUACUGGGCGUAAAGGGCGCGUAGGCGGUCGUGACAAGUCACUUGUGAAAUCUCCGGGCUUAACUCGGAACGGUCAAGUGAUACUGUCGGACUAGAGUACAGAAGGGGCAACUGGAAUUCUCGGUGUAGCGGUGAAAUGCGUAGAUAUCGAGAGGAACAUCUGCGGCGAAGGCGGGUUGCUGGGCUGAUACUGACGCUGAGGCGCGAAAGCCAGGGGAGCGAACGGG
rnacentral:rRNA from 1 species